rnacentral:rRNA from 1 species
AGAGUUUGAUCCUGGCUCAGAGCGAACGUUAGCGGCGCGCCUAACACAUGCAAGUCGCACGGAGUAGCAAUACUCAGUGGCGCACGGGUGCGUAACACGUAGAUAACCUGCCCUGAAAUGGGGGAUAACGUUCCGAAAGGAGCGCUAAUACCGCAUAACGCCGAGAUGGGUUCGCCUGUUUCGGACAAAGGCUGGGACCAGCAAUGGCCAGUCGUUUUGGGAGGGGUCUGCGGCCCAUCAGCUAGUUGGUAAGGUAAUGGCUUACCAAGGCAAAGACGGGUAGCUGGUCUGAGAGGAUGAUCAGCCACACUGGUACUGGAACACGGACCAGACUCCUACGGGAGGCAGCAGUGGGGAAUCUUGGUCAAUGGGCGCAAGCCUGAACCAGCGACGCCGCGUGAGUGAUGAAGGCCUUCGGGUUGUAAAGCUCUGUGGGGAGGGACGAAAGACUGAGGUCUAAUAGGCUUCAGGUUGACGGUACCUCCUUAGCAAGCACCGGCUAACUCUGUGCCAGCAGCCGCGGUAAGACAGAGGGUGCAAACGUUGCUCGGAAUCACUGGGCGUAAAGGGCGUGUAGGCGGGAAGGAAAGUCAGAUGUGAAAUCCCCAGGCUCAACCUGGGAACUGCAUUUGAAACUCCCUUUCUUGAGUACCGGAGAGGAAAGUGGAAUUCCUGGUGUAGAGGUGAAAUUCGUAGAUAUCAGGAGGAACACCAGUGGCGAAGGCGGCUUUCUGGACGGUAACUGACGCU